AGAUGAGGUGAAGUUCGUCACUGGAUGCAGCGGUUCAUCGAUCUGUUCCUGAAUUUUGUUUGUCUCGUAAAACAAACAUGAAUCGGUCGAUAAACCUCUGCAUCCAGCGCUCACUUUCCCCUCU
rnacentral:pre_miRNA from 1 species